rnacentral:rRNA from 1 species
GCCCUUAGAGUUUGAUCAUGGCUCAGGACGAACGCUGGCGGCGCGCUUAACACAUGCGAGUUGAACGCUCCGCCCUCUUCUGCCCUUCGGGGCAGAGAGGAUCACGGAGAGUAGCGGACGGGUGAGUAACGCGUAGGUAACCUGCCCUGGGGAGGAGGAUGACCCUGCGAAAGCGGGGCUAAUCCUGCAUAUGUUAGGGAGUGGCCAACACACCCUAAUGAAAGGCGGCAUCAAGCCGUCGCCCCGGGAUGAGCCUGCGUCGGAUUAGCCAGCUGGUGGGGUAAAGGCCCACCAGGGCGACGAUCCGUAGCUGGUCUGAGAGGACGAUCAGCCACACUGGGACUGAGACACGGCCCAGACUCCUACGGGAGGCAGCAGUGGGGAAUCUUCCGCAAUGGGCGCAAGCCUGACGGAGCGACGCCGCGUGGAUGAAGAAGGCCUUCGGGUCGUAAAGUCCUGUCAGUGGGGAAGAAAGCGAUCAUCAAGAAAAGGGUGAUCGUUGACGGUACCCGUUGAGGAAGCCCUGGCCAACUACGUGCCAGCAGCCGCGGUAACACGUAGAGGGCAAGCGUUGUCCGGAAUUACUGGGCGUAAAGGGCGCGCAGGCGGUAAGGCAAGUCGGGUGUGAAAACCUGGGGCUUAACCCCAGGCGUGCAUUCGAAACUGUCUUGCUUGAGGGCAGCAGAGGAAAACGGAAUUCCUGGUGUAGUGGUGAAAUACGUAGAUAUCA